rnacentral:rRNA from 1 species
AUUGAACGCUGGCGGCAGGCCUAACACAUGCAAGUCGGACGAGCGGCGGACGGGUGAGUAAUGUAUGGGGAUCUGCCUGAUGGAGGGGGCUAACUGCUGGAAACGUUAGCUAAUCGCGCAUAACCUCAGCUCGACCGAUAGGGGUUUAGCUUGUAGGUAAGGUAACGGCUGACCUCGGCGACGCUCCCUAGCUGGUCGUAGAGGAUGAUCAGCCACGCUGGGACGUAGACCCGGCCCAGACUCCUACGGGAGGCAGCAGUGGGGAAUAUUGAACAAUGGGCGCAAGCCUGACGCAGCCAUGCCGCGUGUAUGAAGAAGGUCUUCGGGUUUUAAAGUUCUUUUAUUCGGGAGGCGUUACCGACAGAAGAAGCAACGGCUAACUACGUGCCAGCAGCCGCGGUAAUUC